UACGUAGGGGGCAAGCGUUGUCCGGAAUUACUGGGCGUAAAGGGCGCGUAGGCGGCCCGCUAAGUCGAACGUGAAAUCCCCGAGCUCAACUCGGGAACUGCGUCCGAUACUGCUGUUCUUGAGGAUUGCAGAGGAGACUGGAAUUCCCGGGUGUAGCGGUGAAAUGUGUAGAGAUCGGGAGGAACACCGGUGGCGAAGGCGGG
rnacentral:rRNA from 1 species